GUUUAGAGAGUAUUAUUUGCGUCCUUAUCUGCUGAAACAAACAAUAAAUAAAGAGAAAGAUAAUGACCAAUAAAAUCUAGGUUCCCGUGCAACCGUUUGUUCUGAUUUCCCCAAAAAGCGCUGCCAGCCGCUUCCUUUCCUUCCAGCCGCCGCCGCCUCCUCCUACCCUUCAUCUCGUUUCUGCUCUCCUAUCUUCCUCCCGUACCUCCUCGAGCGCAGCGGCUGAUUCCGGCCGAGCUGCAUGCGAUGUCGGCCAGGUCACAGUUCCCGUGGCCAUCCUCUGCCGCCGUCCUCGUGGGAGCCGGCAACGCGCUGGUCGUCUCGGUGGCAGCUGCCGCGGACAACGUGAGGAAGCACGGGUUGGAGAUCGCGCAGCUGGCGCUCGACGCUAAAGGGCCAGCGCCUAUGUACGACGUCGCCUCCAAGAAAAACAGCAGCGAGAUGCACAAGGCAGAUCUAGGACUGAGAAUUGUUGGGACUUCCACAAGCGGCCGUGCAGCAGCUGAUUAACUAGUUAUAUUCUUCACUCGACCAUUCUUUUUUUGCAGUUUUUUAUUUUAAAGGAGAAGAUGCAAACAUGGAUGCAUGUUCGUGGAGGUGAUGAUGCUGGUCUUCUCAAGGAUGCUUGGAGAUGUGUGCCCCACACGAUCCACAAUGACAUCAUCCAUGGAUGGCCUACUUCUAUUUCUGGAGAUGCAUGGAUAACAGAUGGUCCAUCGUAAUAGAAGCAUCACUAGGCGUUGUAGUAAUUGGUGAAGAAUGAUACGAACUUCAAUUCAAGGACUGAUGAUGGCCUCUCAUGACUGAAGAUUAUGGAAAGAAAAUAUCUUUUCUAGUUGUUGCACUAUUUCUUGUUAGAGAUGAACAACUACAAUGGUUGUCUAGGGAGUUUUUUGGUUCACAAUUUUUGAAUGGUGGUACUUUAUCCCCUAAAUUGUA